CGUCUCCUGGGAGCCGAGGCCCCUGUCUUCCGGGAGGCCAGGAUGUGCGGCCACGUGUGUCCGGAAGCACCAGUCAGCUCCGUGGGCAGCCACGCCGAGGUACCGUGGCUUAGCCCCGGCACGUCCGUCCCCCUCACGCGGCCCAUCUGCGGUUCAGGAGGAGCUGGGCUCAGCUGGGCCGGGCUUCCAGGCUGCAGAGGAGGCUCAGGCUUCCACACCUUCGCCUUUGGCCUCCUGGCACCAGCAGGCUGCCCAGGGCAUUCUCUUCCCAUGCCAGUGCCCACGGCCAAGGCACGAGACACCAGCCAAGUGCAAAAGUGUAUUUAGGACUUUGCACGGGCUGCGUCCGCGAGCACACCGUUGGCGCAAAUCCAACUCCCACCCAAGCUUCACCUCGGCGGACCAGACACCGUGCCUCUAGGGGCGGGAAGGCGGCAGAGGGCCUGGAUGAGGGAGGAGGUGAAGGUUGGGGCCGGUCCGCAAUCUUCUUCUUGUGUUGCCUGUCUACACUUGGGGGCUCCCGGGCCUGGUUUUCUCAGCCAGUCCUGCUUUCGUUUGGGGGCUCGGAGCCGGCCGGGAGAGUAUCUGGGGAAAGGACCACACUUCAGGUUUAUUUAUGAAAAAAAAAAUACUGCGGUAUUAUUGCAGAGGAAGAAACAUGUUCAUCAAAGCAUAUGGAUCUCGACAUACUAACCAUCAUCAACUGUAAUCAAGUAGCUGGUCUGGCUUCUUGCGCUUAGCAGAGUGUUUCUGACGUCCACCUGGCUUGUAGCACGGGUCAGUGCCUGAUCGUCUUCUCCAUCACCUCCGCUCCUGGGCUUAGGUCUAGCUGGGGAGACGAGAAUUAUCCAGAAUUCAUAGUCGAGGCCUAAAGAGUAUGCGGAUUCGGAGGUGACCAAGAUCUUCAUUGGCCCAGGAGAUCCAAUCAAGGAGGGCUUGCCAGCAGAGGUGGCCCUGAAGGAAGGGCAGCGGCCGGCUCGUAGAGAUGUGGGGAAGACACGUCAGGAGCCAGAGCAGCCCCAAAAUGUAAAAGCACUUCAAAAUAUAGAAUGCCUACAGUAU